GCAGUCGUAGUCUAGUGGUUAUGAUGUGACCUUUACAUGCACUAUGUAUUCGGUCAAGGCCGGGGGUUCGAUCCCCCCCGACUGUA
rfam:Verruconis gallopava strain CBS 43764 unplaced genomic scaffold supercont1.5, whole genome shotgun sequence.